rnacentral:misc_RNA from 1 species
UCCGGUUUGUCACCGGCAGUCUCCUUAGAGUUCCCGGCCGAACCGCUGGCAACUAAGGACAAGGGUUGCGCUCGUUACGGGACUUAACCCAACAUCUCACGACACGAGCUGACGUCAGCCAUGCACCACCUGUGCACUAGCCCCGAAGGGCUGCUGUAUUUCUACGACAUUCCAGUGCAUGUCAAGCCCUGGUAAGGUUCUUCGCGUUGCGUCGAAUUAAGCAACACGCUCCGCUGCUUGUGCGGGCCCCCGUCAAUUCCUUUGAGUUUUAACCUUGCGGCCGUACUCCCCAG